rnacentral:rRNA from 1 species
GACGAACGCUGGCGGCGUGCUUAACACAUGCAAGUCGAACGGAAAGGCCCUGCUUUUGUGGUGUGCUCGAGUGGCGAACGGGUGAGUAACACAUGAGUAACCUGCCCUUGACUUUGGGAUAACUUCAGGAAACUGGGGCUAAUACCGGAUAGGAGCUCCUGCUGCAUGGUGGGGGUUGGAAAGUUUCGGCGGUUGGGGAUGGACUCGCGGCUUAUCAGCUUGUUGGUGGGGUAGUGGCUUACCAAGGCUUUGACGGGUAGCCGGCCUGAGAGGGUGACCGGCCACAUUGGGACUGAGAUACGGCCCAGACUCCUACGGGAGGCAGCAGUGGGGAAUAUUGCACAAUGGGCGGAAGCCUGAUGCAGCAACGCCGCGUGCGGGAUGACGGCCUUCGGGUUGUAAACCGCUUUCGCCUGUGACGAAGCGUGAGUGACGGUAAUGGGUAAAGAAGCACCGGCUAACUACGUG